UCUGGGGUUCUCCUGCUGCUGCCUCCACCAAGCCGCUCCUCCUCAUCUAGCGCCGCCUCUGCCCUGGCUUGGAGUGAGAUCCCCUGGAAUGAGGGAUCAGGGUGGGAUUUGAGGCCAAAUCCCCUCUGCCCCAAUGCCAGGAAGAGCCAGUUUUAUUUUGGGAUGUCACCCCUGAAUCUUUCGUUUCCAGGUACCUCAUCCAUGGGCGGCAUAGCUGCGGGUGUGGCUGUGGCUGUAUUGCUUGGUUUGGUGCUUUUUGUCUUAGGUUUCUUCUGUAAAUCCAAAGUGCCCUGCAGGAGGAGAAGGUUCUGGAUCAACGGUGGCAUCCAGGGCAACUCACACGGUGCUGCUGAGGACAUGGACACACAGGCUGAGUCAUUUCUGUGAUGGAGCACAUCAACCCUUUGGUGCUAUACAACACUCCAAAUACCCUGAUAAAGCUUUAGAACAAACCAACCUAACAAACAAACACUAAUUCUCUCCCAGAUGAGGAAAAGGGACAAGGUGAAAACACGUAAAGAAAAUAACAUGGGACGCUGGAAUGUGGUUAGCAUUUUCCUGUUGUGAGGUAGCACUAGGGAAUGGCAAAGCAGCCUCACAAGUUGAAAGCAGCAUUAAGAAAAAUUUAUUUUUUUAUUUAGUGUCCUGUUCUUUUCUUUGUAUUUUUACGGUUUGUUUUGAGAUUUAUGAAACAGUAGCUAACACUAAACCUUCAGAACAUUAACUUUCCUUUUCUUACUGACAAUCCGAAGUGACAAAACCUAAAAUUUCAACCUCUAGAAUUGUUCUCCUUCAUUUCACUUGGGGAGAGAACUCUCUCUUGUUAAUUUUUUGGAUUAAUUUAAUUUUUCUCCACAAGAAAACAGUUCUCUUGUGGCUCUUUCCAUUCCUUUUCCCUCCUUUUCCACAAGCUGUGUUCAUGGGCCAUGUCAAUUUAUGGGGUACUGUGUGAAGGAUGAGCUGUUCAAGGGCAAAGGUUCUCUUUAUCUCAGGAUUUCAGCCUAAAAUUAAAUUAAAUUUCACCCCUCCCAUCUGGGUCUCAAUUCCUCUUCUCUGACCUCGGUGUCUUCAUGGUGCUCCUCUACACCCCAGAAUUUUGUCCUUUUUCCCCCUCUGGAGGGAGGAUGGAAGCACUGAGAGAGGUAAUACCUCAGCCUGGUUUACAGACCAAACAACUCUAAAAAGACCAAAUUGAUAAAAUACGAGUUUACCAUAGCAAGGAACAAUCAAGGCCAUUAGCAUGGAAACUGAAGCAUUAACACAAAAGGGAUAUUUGAAGUGUGCCUUACUGAGCAGCGUUAAGUAAUGAAGAAAUUAAUUUCUUGUAUAUAUUUGCCAUUUCUUGUAUAUAUUUGCCAUUUCAUUAUUUAACUUUUAUUUUUUUUUUUUUGGACCAGCAAAAUGCAAUAAGCUGCUGUUUUCUGAAAUGAUACUUUCUGAAAUGAUGAUUUCUGAAAAAAAAAUUUUUGAUGUCUGAAUGUCUGAAUGUGAUGCGCUGUUUUGGUGCAAAUACUUUUUAGGAGUGUAAAACUGGAGAGCAAUUUAUAAUAAUAAAGAAGGCGCUGUUCCUGUAUUUGCACAAGUGUGUGUGUGUUGGGAAUUUAGCUGACAAGAGACUGGAAAAGUACAAGACUGUGGCUAAUUCUAAGUCUUGCACUUGUCAAGAUAGUGUGUCUUUGGGCUUAGCUGAGUAUGAUAAAGAAAUGGACAGCGAGAUGUGAGAAGUAGAGAACGUAGGCCCAAAGGAAUGUGGAUGAGUUAAUGCUAUAGUUUAACCAAUAGAUUGCUUGGUUUACAGAAUAUUCAUAAAUUUAUUAUUUGCUGUAUGAGUGUUUGAUGUUUUCUUCAGUAAACUGGACGUGUGAUGAAC